rnacentral:rRNA from 1 species
CGCACGGGUGCGUAACGCGUAUGCAAUCUACCUAUUGCAGGGGAAUAGCCCAGGGAAACUUGGAUUAAUGCCCCAUAGUAUUAUUGAAUGGCAUCGUUUAAUAAUUAAAGAUUUAUCGGCAAUAGAUGAGCAUGCGUACUAUUAGCUAGUUGGUGUGGUAACGGCACACCAAGGCUACGAUAGUUAGGGGCCCUGAGAGGGGGAUCCCCCACACUGGUACUGAGACACGGACCAGACUCCUACGGGAGGCAGCAGUGAGGAAUAUUGGACAAUGGUGGGAACACUGAUCCAGCCAUGCCGCGUGCAGGAAGACUGCCCUAUGGGUUGUAAACUGCUUUUAUACGGGAAGAAACACCCCUACGUGUAGGGAUUUGACGGUACCGUACGAAUAAGGAUCGGCUAACUCCGUGCCAGCAGCCGCGGUAAUACGGAGGAUCCGAGCGUUAUCCGGAAUCAUUGGGUUUAAAGGGUCCGUAGGCGGGCAUCUAAGUCAGUGGUGAAAUCCGGCAGCUUAACUGUCGAACUGCCAUUGAUACUGGAUGUCUUGAAUUACUGUGAAGUGGUUAGAAUAUGUAGUGUAGCGGUGAAAUGCUUAGAUAUUACAUGGGAAUACCAAUUGCGAAGGCAGAUCACUAACAGUAUAUUGACGCUGAGGGACGAAAGCGUGGGGUAGCGAACAGGAUUAGAUACCCUGGUAGUCCACGCCGUAAACGAUGGAUACUAGCUGUUGGG